rnacentral:rRNA from 1 species
AACGAACGCUGGCGGCAGGCCUCAAACAUGCAAGUCUAGGGGGUGCAGCAAUGCAUCACCGGCGGACGGGUGCGUAACGCGUGGGAAUAUACCUUUUGGUUCGGAACAACUGCGGGAAACUGCAGCUAAUACCGAAUGUGCCCUAACGGGGAAAGAUUUAUCGCCAAAGGAUUAGCCCGCGUAGGAUUAGCUAGUUGGUGAGGUAAUGGC